UUUUUUUUUUUUUUUUUUUGGAUUGAACUAAAAGGCUUAUGGUUAUUUUUGGAAAUAGACAUGCAAUCUAAUGAAAACAUUGUUUUCAUCAUGUUACUGUAAAAUAACUUUGCAAUAUAGUUAACAAAUAUAAUCAAUACAUCUUUACCUACUUUUGUAGUUAUAGAAACAUCCAGGAAAAAAGCUGUUAAUGUUUAAAAUGUGUUUAAUUUGCCUGAUUUAAACUAGUGAGCACCAAUUUAACAUGCAGGUUGCCAGAAGGUGGAGCUCUAGGUUCAGUCAUUUCAAAACAGAGCACACAGACAUAAAUUGAGUUAGUUGAGGAAAGUCACAAAAGUCUUUUUGUUUCUUGCUGGUGUAGAUGUUUCUCCUGGUCCUCUUGAUACUUUCUCCUCUUAAGGAGAAUGCUGAUGCUGAAGUGAUAACCUCAUUCUUCACAGAGCAGCAUGUUUUGGCAGGGAAAGAUAUUACUCUUUCCUGCAAUUACAGUGGCUUUGUUCAAAACUUGCAGUGGUAUCGUCAGUAUCCCGGAUCCAAACCUGAGAAUAUAAUUUUUUAUACUGAGACCAGCAGUCAGUCAAAGCUUCGUCUGUAUGCUGUGGCAGAUAAAGGAAUCAAACUUAUGAAUUUGAGCAUAUCUUCUACUCAAAUGGAUGAUUCUGCCAUGUACUACUGUGCCCUGCAGCCCACAGUGACAGGAAAUACAACUGCACUGUACAAAAACUUUCUUAUGGGCUAUUCUUACUAGAAGGCACUUUCACACCAGUUUUUCCUAAUUGUCUUU